CAGAGGCCCCUUGUGCCGAGCUGUUCUCAGCUUGCUGAGUCUGCGCUCACGUGAGUUUUGGAUCCCAGAAGAGGCCCACACUGGUAGAAAGGACUGCCGGAAAAGAACAAUUUCACUGGUGUUAGAGCAUUUUGAGCCCUGCAGUAGCCGUCCCUCACGACUCAUCAUUCCCUCGGGCAAAGACUGUGCAGGAACAGACACGACUUCAGGGCAGCCUCACUCCUGAUGACACCUGAGCUUGUGGAGGAGCAAGUCUACUUCACCGUUGGGUCACUAUUAGAACCCAGGUAACUCUGG